UGAUCUAGACUGAUCUAGUAUAGCUCUGAGUAGCAGCUAACCACUAUUUAUAGACUAUAGAUCUACUGUAUAAGGCUGUAAUACAGUGCAUUUGGAAAGUAUUCAGACCCCUAGAUUUUUUCCCACAUUUUGUUACGUUACAGCCUUAUCCUAAAAUGCAUUAAAUUGUUUUUUUCCCUCAUCAAUCUACACACAAUAACCCAUAAUGACAAAGAAUGUGACUGUAGGUGGAGGUAUAGAGGUAUGGGACUGUAGGUGGAGGUAUGGGACUGUAGGUGGAGGUAAAGAGGUAUGGGACUGUAGGUGGAGGUAAAGAGGUAUGUGACUGUAGGUGGAGGUAAAGAGGUAUGUGACUGUAGGUGGAGGUAAAGAGGUAUGGGACUGUAGGUGGAGGUAUAGAGGUAUGUGACUGUAGGUGGAGGUAAAGAGGUAUGUGACUGUAGGUGGAGGUAAAGAGGUAUGGGACUGUAGGUGGAGGUAUAGAGGUAUGGGACUGUAGGUGGAGGUAUGUGACUGUAGGUGGAGGUAAAGAGGUAUGUGACUGUAGGUGGAGGUAAAGAGGUAUGUGACUGUAGGUGGAGGUAUAGAGGUAUGGGACUGUAGGUGGAGGUAAAGAGGUAUGGGACUGUAGGUGGAGGUAUGGGACUGUAGGUGGAGGUAAAGAGGUAUGGGACUGUAGGUGGAGGUAAAGAGGUAUGGGACUGUAGGUGGAGGUAUAGAGGUAUGGGACUGUAGGUGGAGGUAAAGAGGUAUGGGACUGUAGGUGGAGGUAUAGAGGUAUGGGACUGUAGGUGGAGGUAUAGAGGUAUGGGACUGUAGGUGGAGGUAAAAGAGGUAUGGGACUGUAGGUGG